GAUGAACGCUGGCGGCGUGCUUUACACAUGCAAGUCGAACGCUGAAACCCCUUCGGGGGUGGAUGAGUGGCGAACGGGUGAGUAACACGUGGGUAACCUGCCUCGCACAUCGGGAUAAGCCUGGGAAACUGGGUCUAAUACCGAAUAUGACUCAUUACCACAUGGUGAUGAGUGGAAAGUUCUGGCGGUGCGAGGAUGGGCCCGCGGCCUAUCAGCUUGUUGGUGGGGUGAUGGCCUACCAAGGCGA
rnacentral:rRNA from 1 species